rnacentral:tRNA from 1 species
GCCAGAGUGGCAUAGUGGUUUGAGUGUUGGACUAUGACUCUGGUGAGCAGGGUUCAAUUCCCAGUUCAGCCA